rnacentral:rRNA from 1 species
GCUAAAACCCUAGCCCACUUAAUCACCAAACCUCUCACCUAACAGCCACAACCAAACCAUUUGAUAAGCCCAGUAUAUGAGAUAGAACCGCACCAAGGAGCAAUAGUUAACAGUACCGCAAGGGACCAGUGAAAUAAAAUUUACACACAUUAAGCACAAAACAGCAGGACUACAACCCCGUACCUUUUGCAUCAUGGUUUAGCCAGCAAACCGCAAAUAAAGAGAACUACAUUUGCCACCCCGAAUCCGAGCGAGCUACCCACGGGCAAUCUUAGACUAACGAAUGAACCCGUCUCUGUGGCAAAAGAGUGGGACGACCCGCGGGUAGUGGCGAAACACCAAUCGAGCCCGGAGAUAGCUGGUUGCUCAAACUUUAAACGAAUCACAGUUCACCACCAGCCCAAACCUAAUCAAUUAUAGACUACAACUUGACUUUAGCUGGUAGCUAGUCAACAGGGGUACAGCUCUGUUGAAAUUGGACACAACCACCAAUAGAGGGAAACUCAUCACCACCUAUAUACAGUUGGCCCUAAAGCAGCCACCAAAAAAUAUAGCGUCAAAGCAACAAACCCUACAAUACCUAAAUACACACGCACCCCCUAAAUUAACACAAAAUGAGCCACUCUACCCACAAACAUUAGAGGCAAAACUGCUAAAACUAGUAACUUAUUACGAGCCCCCUCACACAAGGCACACCCUUACAUAAAAAUUAUUAUCGGGCCAAUAACCACAACACACGCACCCAUUACUACAUAGACCCGUUACCCCAACCCAGGCGUGCCCAUCCCUAGAGCAACGGCCAUAAAAGGAACUCGGCUAAUCCACCCCACCUGUUUACCAAAAACACCGCCUUUAGCCACACAAGUAUUAAAGGUCCCGCCUGCCCAGUGAACCAACUUUUCAACGGCCGCGGUAUUAUAACCGUGCAAAGGUAGCGUAAUCACUUGUCCCUUAAAUAGGGACCAGUAUGAACGGCUAAAUGAGGGUGAAACUGUCUUUUAUGACCACUCAGUGAAACUGAUCUCCCAGUACAAAAGCUAGGAUAAACCCACAAGACGAGAAGACCCUGUGGAGCUUACUAACCCAGCGCACUAUCAUCAGACACAUAAACCAACAGGUACACACAACUUAAUCUAACAAUAGGCCGCAGUUUAAGUUGGGGCAACUACGGAAUACAACCCACCCUCCGUGCACCAGGGCACCACCCCCCUAACAGGGCUACACCCCAAAAAGACCAAUAAAUUGACCCAGUACCACUGACAACCGAACCAAGUUACCCCAGGGAUAACAGCGCCAUCCUCUCCAAGAGUCCAUAUCGACAAGAGGGCUUACGACCUCGAUGUUGGAUCAGGGCCCCCCAGUGGCGCAGCCGCUACUAAAGGUCCGUUUGUUCAACGGCUAACGCCCUACGUGAUCUGAGUUCAGACCGGAGAAAUCCAGGUCGGUUUCUAUCUGUGCUAAAUCUUCUUUAGUACGAAAGGACCAAGAAGACAGUACCACUGCUUAAGGCACGCACUGAACACAAAACUGAAACGAUCUAAAGUAUUUACAUCAUACCACACGCCCCUAAACCAGGGGCAAAACAUGC